rnacentral:rRNA from 1 species
UACGUAGGGUGCGAGCGUUGUCCGGAAUUACUGGGCGUAACGGGCUCGUAGGUGGCCAACUAAGUCAGACGUGAAAUCCCUCGGCUUAACCGGGGAACUGCGUCUGAUACUGGAUGGCUUGAGAUUGGGAGAGGGAUGCGGAAUUCCAGGUGUAGCGGUGAAAUGCGUAGAUAUCUGGAGGAACACCGGUGGCGAAGGCGGCAUCCUGGACCAACACUGACGCUGAGGGAGCGAAAGCCAGGGGAGCAAACGGG